GGGGCCGGGACGUGCCAGUCUUGGGGCCCCCACGCCUCUCCCUCUGUCAGGGGCACCCCCCCACACACCUCACCCAUCUGUUCGGUGCCACGCCCUCCAGCAGUCCCCAGCACCUGCCCCCUGCCUUGCUCCGCCUGGUCUCUCCCCUGCGGCACUUUCUCAGUGUUUCAUGGGGGCCUGGCCCCUGGAAUGGAACCCACCAAGGCAAGGAUGUUUCUGUUUUGUUUAUGCUGUGUCCCCAGCCCGCAGACGUGGCCUGGCACCCGUGGGUGCCCCACUGAGGGCAUUGGCACCGUACGUUUGUUGCAACUGAUGAACUAAUGUCGAUGCAUUAUUAACUCAAGUGCACAGGUCAAGCUUAGAGCCACUGUUGGUGUCGUACCUUCCAGGCAUCUGGCAGCCGGAAUGUCACAUACUUGGAACCAUACAGCAGUACCAUUGAGGACUUCUGAAUGGAGAGAUUUUCGGAGGGCGGCUGGGGCAGUGGGCCAUAGAAGGGACGGGAAAGGGAGAAGCUGGAGGCAGAGAGACUGAUUAGGAGCUUGCUGGACAGUGCAGAUGAGGAAACUGAGGCCCGGAGAGGCCCAGGAAGUUGCUCCCGCCCGCAACCACCUGCAUCUUGGCCGCAUGAAGGAGCCCUCCCCAGACAUUCACCCGGCCCUUCUGCGGGGGCCACCCCCCUGCCCCCUGUCCCCGCGCGCCCCCCGAAUCGAGGCUGGCUCUGUCUUGCUGCAAGAAAUAAAGCAAUAAUGACCCCUGUGACGCUGGCUGGGGGGUGAGCGGCGGGAACGCGGCAGGUGGGGCCGGCAGAGGUGAGAACUGGGGGUCCCGGUCGAGAUCCCUAGGCAGGGGCCUCCAGGUGAGCUCCCCAAACGCCACCCUUGGAUGGGCCUUGUUCCCCUCGAGCGGGAUAGCGUUUAUUCUUCCCUCGGGGACAGUCACCAGGGCCGGGGGAACGUUGCGCAACGAGACUGCCAGCCAGGUCCCCUCCGCUCCUCCGUUUCUGUGACUCUUGCCAGUUUACCCACUGCUAAUAACAGUAGGUCUGCCGUGCGGAGGGCCAACCUGUGCUGGCCUGCACCUCGCACAGUCAUCACCUGCAUUUCAGACCGGCGAAAACCGGGGGACUUGCCCGGAGUCACCUGGAGAGCCAGUGGAGCGAUCAGGAUCGGAACCCAGGGCCGUCCAAGGAAAGCACCCUUCCCCUCUGCCACGCGGUCGUCCCUCGGCCACCCGGGAGCCCGUACACCCGAGGGGGCACACUGCCAGUGUCGCUGGCCUGACACGCGCGGGCAGGACUUGAGUGUGUGUCUCCCCCCCCCCGGUCCAGAAAACCAGCCUGUCCGAGCUCCCCACCUAAGAGAGAAGGCGACUGGUGCUCUGAGGGUCCACCAUAGACAUUCACACGCACCCAGCACUUUUCCCUAAGUGCUUUGCACGGUCGAUCUCAUUUGAGCCUCAGGUCAACCAUUAUCCACUUUGAAGAUGAGGCGUUCUAAAGGCCAAGCACCUGGCCCAAGACCACAGGACAGCAAGGAGGACGAUGACCCAGGUCUGACUUCUCGUCCUGACCUCCUUCCACCCGACGCCCCCAGCCCCGGGUGGGUCCCCUGGGGAGUGGUGUCCCAACAGAAUGAGCCUCCGAAGUCCCAGCUGGAGUGCAGCCUUGGCCGGGCUGUGGCC